AAAAGUAGCGAAGCACACAGACCAUCUGUCGAGAAAAGCCGCUAUUGUGUAUACCGUACCCGUACCGUAAACCGACACAGGUGGAUGAGGAGAGAAUCCUAAGGCCGGCGGGAGAAGCAUUGUUAAGGAACUCGGCAAAAUGACCCCGUAACUUCGGGAGAAGGGGUGCUCACGCAUGUGAGCCGCAGAGAACUGGCCCAAGCAACUGUUUAGCAAAAACACAGGUCUAUGCAAAACCGAAAGGUGAGGUAUAUGGGCUGACGCCUGCCCGGUGCUGGAAGGUUAAGAGGAGAUGUUAGAGCAAUCGAAGCAUUGAAUUUAAGCCCCAGUAAACGGCGGCCGUAACUAUAACGGUCCUAAGGCAGCGAAAUUCCUUGUCGGGUAAGUUCCGACCCGCACGAAAGGCGUAAUGAUUUGGGCACUGUCUCGACAAUGCACCCGGUGAAAUUGAAAUACCAGUGAAGAUGCUGGUUACCUGCGCCAGGACGGAAAGACCCCAUGGAGCUUUACUCUAGCUUGAUACUGGGAUUCGGUAUUGCAUGUACAGGAUAGGUGGGAGACGAAGAGGUGAUGACGCCAGUUGUCACGGAGUCGAUGUUGGGAUACCACCCCUGCAGUACUGGGUUUCUAACCUGCGGCCGUGACCCGGCCGGGGGACAAUGUCUGGUGGGGAGUUUGACUGGGGCGGUCGCCUCCGAAAGGGUAUCGGAGGCGCUCAAAGGUUCCCUCAGAAUGGUUGGAAACCAUUCGAAGAGUGCAAAGGCAGAAGGGAGCUUGACUGCGACACCGACGGGUGGAGCAGGUACGAAAGUAGGACUUAGUGAUCCGGUGGUAUGAAAGUGGGAUUGCCAUCGCUCAACGGAUAAAAGCUACCCUGGGAUAACAGGCUUAUCACUCCCAAGAGUUCACAUCGACGGAGUGGUUUGGCACCUCGAUGUCGGCUCAUCGCAACCUGGGGCUGUAGUAGGUCCCAAGGGUUGGGCUGUUCGCCCAUUAAAGCGGUACGCGAGCUGGGUUCAGAACGUCGUGAGACAGUUCGGUCCCUAUCCGGCGUGGGCGCAGGAUAUCUGAGAGGAGCUGUCCUUAGUACGAGAGGACCGGGAUGGACUGACCUCUGGUGCAUCGGUUGAGCCACCAGGCUCAUGGCCGAGUAGCCAAGUCGGGACGGGAUAAACGCUGAAGGCAUCUAAGCGUGAAGCCCCCCUCAAGAUGAGAUAUCCCAUAGAGUUAAUCUAGUAAGACCCCUUGAAGACGACGAGGUAGAUAGGCAGAAGGUGGAAGUGUGGUGACAUAUGGAGCUGAUCUGUACUAAUAGGUCGAGGGCUUAAC
rnacentral:rRNA from 1 species